rnacentral:lncRNA from 1 species
AGUAUCUAUCCCAAAGACCAGGGAGAAAGGAAGGAAAGAUUCUGGUUCUGUCCUCUUCCCCAAGGCAAGGCUGGCUGCCCUACCAACAGAGGCAAAGAGAAGAGUGUGCAAGGCUGGCUGCCCUCCCAACAGAGGCAAAGAGGAGUGUGUGUUGAAAUAUCCAUUGAAUCCCUGAGACAACUGGAUCCUGGCCCAUUGAAUCAUAAACUCAGCAGAAUCUCACAUCAUAACCCCAAAUGACCUGUUACUCACCAUGUGGCCCAGCUGUCUUCAAACUCACCAGCCUCCUGCCUUAGCCUUCUAAAUGCUUGGAUUACAGGCAUGACCCACCAUAACUGGCUUUGUUUUAGUUUCAGAGAAGAUGAAACUGAUGUGCGUCAAAAAGCUGGUAGUCUGUCAAGGAAAUGAGCUGAACAUGUCUGUGUACAGCUUUUGUGCCAUCCCUGGAUGAGCGAGCUGUCUGCCUCUAUGUUCUCCACAAAAUGGAAUAUAGCUGUACACCCAAGCCAAGUUAUGGAGGCUGGGAAGACCUAGAAUGUGGCAUCACUAUUUGGUAAGAACCUUCCUAUGUCAUUGUAGAGUGAGGGACUUGGGUACCACAUGGCAAGGCAUAGUACCCAAAUCCCUUUCCUUCAUAAAAGUAUUAAUGUCAUCAAAGAGGCCCCACCACCAUGAUGCCAUCUGGGGCCUCAUGACCCCAAUGCCUGAUGCCAAAGACUCCCACCUCAAAAUACUUUUUUCUUCAGCAUAACAUUUUAUUAAUUAUCUGGGAAUUUCACAUCAUGUACUCCAAUCACACUCAGUUCCCAGUCCUUCCAUGUCAGCCCCCACCCUUGUUACUUGCCCCCCAAAAGAGGAAAAUUAAAACUAAGAAUUAAAAAAAAUUAAAAAAAUUAAAAUA